rnacentral:rRNA from 1 species
AGUUUAGUCAUGGCUCAGGAUGAACGCUAGCGGCAGGCCUAACACAUGCAAGUCGAACGGUAACAGGGAAAAGCUUGCUUUUCCGCUGACGAGUGGCGCACGGGUGCGCACCGCGUAUGAAACCUGCCCUUUACAGGGGAAUAGCCUUUGGAAACGAAGAUUAAUGCCCCAUAGUACCUUUUGUAGCAUUGCAAGAUGGUUAAAGACUUCGGUCGGUAAAGGAUGGUCAUGCGUCCCAUUAGUUUGUUGGUAAGGUAACGGCUUACCAAGACUACGAUGGGUAGGGGCCCUGAGAGGGGGAUCCCCCACACUGGUACUGAGACACGGACCAGACUCCUACGGGAGGCAGCAGUGAGGAAUAUUGGACAAUGGAGGAGACUCUGAUCCAGCCAUGCCGCGUGCAGGAAGAAUGCCCUAUGGGUAGUAAACUGCUUUUAUACGGGAAGAAAAAGGGCUACGUGUAGCCCACUGACGGUACCGUAAGAAUAAGGACCGGCUAACUCCGCGCCAGCAGCCGCGGUAAUACGGAGGGUGC